ACAUGGGUUCAAGUUUUGCCUUUGAUGUUUAUUACUAUUGUCACUUUAGACAAAUCAAUAACUCCUCUGGGUCUUGGUAUCUUUAAUUGUCAGAUGGAAUCAAUGGCCAUGAAGGUUCCUUCUAGCUUCUUCGAGCAUUGAGGUAAACAUCCAGGAUCCUUAGAAUAAUAGAGUGUAGAAUAGUAGAAUAGUAGAAUAGAAUAAUAGAAUAAUCCUUAGAAUGUCGGAGUGUGAAAGAAUAUUUGUUUCUGCCACUUUCUUGGCAUCUCAUCUUUACUUCUUUUUCAUUCUAAUACAUUCUGCCUGUCUGGUUUCAGUAUCAAGACAGGACAGGACUUAGACUGGGUAAAUCAUCUAAACUCCUUAGGCUUCAGUUUCUUCAUCUGUAAAACGAGGAGUUGGAAUGAAUGGCUUAGUAUCAGAGAUCCAAGAUUCAGAGUCAAAAAGCAUAUUAGAGAUGGACCAACUGGUCCAUUUGUCUCAUCUUAUAAUGGAGAAAAUGGAAGUUGUUGAAUUGGGAUUACAUCCCACUGUGGUGUUAUCUGAGUUCUUAAUGCCUAGUUCUACAUUCUCUGAAGAGUGAGCCCACAGAAAUGUCUCCUAUGUCAUUGUUAUUAAGUCAUUUCAGCCAUGUCUGACUCUUUGUGACCUCAUUUGGGGUUUCCUUGGCAGAGAUACUCUCGUGGUUUGCCAUUUCAUUUUCCAACUCAUUUUACAGAGGAGUAAACUGGGGCCAAGAAGUUUAAGUGACUUGUCCAGGGUCACACAGCUAGUAAGUGUCUGAAGCUGGAUUUAAAUUUGUGUCUUCCUGACUCCAGGCCGAGCAUUAUAUCCAUUGCCCACUUUCUUGGCAUCUCAUCUUUACUUCUUUUUCAUUCUAAUACAUUCUGCCUGUCUGGUUUCAGUAUCAAGACAGGACAGGACUUAGACUGGGUAAAUCAUCUAAACUCCUUAGGCUUCAGUUUCUUCAUUUGUAAAACGAGGAGUUGGAAUGAAUGGCUUCGGAGAACCUGUAGGACACUAGGCUCCUGAUCCUGUCACACUCUCUAAUGCUCAGUUUCUUUGUCUAUAAAAUGAGGAAGUUGGACUACAGGCUUUCUGAGGACCCUUCUACUUCUAAAUUUAGAAUUAUAAAAACAGAACAUUAGCACCUAGAGGGCAUAGGCUGUCUUACUUUUAUAUUUAUAUCUCCAGGGCUGGCUCAACAGAUGGCAGCUAAUACAUGCUUGCUGGUUAAUUGAUAAAUUAAAUUAAAAAUGACUUACUUAAAUUAACUUUUAAUUAAAUUAAUUAAGAAUUAAAUCUAAAUGGCUGGCCAAAGUCUGAAUGAUCCAAUCAAUUAAUCAGUAAACUUUUAUUAAGUACCUAUUAUGUGCCAGGCACUGUGCUAAUAUCUGGGUAUACCCAAUAGGCAAAAGAUAGUCCUUGCUCUCAAGAAACUUCCAAACCAAUGGGAGAAGUAGCCUGCAAAGAAAUAUAUACAAAGCAAGCUGUAGGGGGGCAGCUGGGUAUCUCAGUGGAUUGAGAGCCAGACCAAGAGACAGGAGGUCCUGGGUUCAAAUUUGGCCUCAGAUACUUCCUAG
ensembl:lncRNA